ACUAUAGGGAAUUUAUCAAUUGACAUCGUAGUUUACAAAAUCAAUUGUGAAAUUAUAUAUUUACGCAAUGAAAUAAACGCGUCACAACAUUUAUGUCGUAGUAAAUGCAUUUAUCUACUUAAUACAGCUGGAAAAUACUAUAUUGCGUAUCUAUUACUUAAGUGACAAAAGUAUUGAAAAUGAAUUAAAGUACAUGUACAUUUAAAUAACUGUUGGGGGUAUGGACAUGUCUUUGAUAUAUGAACGUGACAGCUGUUCAGAGAUUUUUUGCUGUAAAAAUGUGCAUUAUAAUUUUUUGCACGAGGUUCUGUUGUGUGCUGUCAAACCAGACAUGUAUGCCAUGUGAUUUAAUGGAUGUACCGAUGACCAAAAUUUUUGAAUACGCAAGAAUAUGUGCUACUUGUGGCGAUUUUUAUGGCGAUGAUAUUGAAAAUUGUUGUUUUUGUCAUAAAAGAAUCAGAGAUUUAUGUAGAAGUGCUUGUGGUGGAUGAAAUAGAAAUAUCACUUUUUAUUGGGUUGAUCAUCAGCUUAAAUGAAGCUUCAUUGCAAGAUGGGAUAUGGUAGCAAGGAAGACAAUAAAUACAAAAGACAAUGUGCGACACACAAUUAUCGAUGACGUGAAGGGAAUAUGGACUAGUUUGAACUAGGACGGAACAAAGAUAACAUUGAAUUAAGCGAAGGAAAAGCAUAUGACACUUUGAUAAUAAGUACUGCAUAUCAUUAAUUAUUUUUAUUUAUACGUUUGUAGAAGUAAAGCUUGAAUACUAAGUUUUUCUUUGUUGGUUUCUUUUCUUUGUAAGAGGUUUAUUUACCAAUUGUUUAUAACAGAUAAUAAUAGUUUUGUUUUAAUCAAAUGACCAACUAAAAAGGAACAAACCAGUGAGAGUAAUGAGACGCAGAAAACCUCACAUUGAACAAAUAUAUUUUGCAGUAUCAUACAAAUAAAACUUACCUAUAUAAAAGAGAACCCUGACAAAUAUCACGUAUUCCUUUGCCAAUUUUUAUCGUACCGCUGACAAUUUACAUCAUUAGUUUGAUAUUGAAUGUCAUUUCGGCAUUGUUGGUUUUUAAUGCUCUCCAACUUCGUAAUGGAAUUGGUUAUCGAACUGACUUGAUAUGAGCACCACUGUUGCAUCUUAUGUAGACGAAACUCUCGUCUGGCGUACCAAAUUAUAAGCCUUUAAAAUGAAAUAUAUGAAGAACCCCCUGAAAAAAAAAAAAAAAAAAAAAAACAA